GACGAACGCUGGCGGCGUGCCUAAUACAUGCGAGUUGAGCGAUGAAGAUUGGUGCUUGCACCAAUUUGAAGAGCAGCGAACGGGUGAGUAACGCGUGGGGAAUCUGCCUUUGAGCGGGGGACAACAUUUGGAAACGAAUGCUAAUACCGCAUAACAACUUUAAACAUAAGUUUUAAGUUUGAAAGAUGCAAUUGCAUCACUCAAAGAUGAUCCCGCGUUGUAUUAGCUAGUUGGUGAGGUAAAGGCUCACCAAGGCGAUGAUACAUAGCCGACCUGAGAGGGUGAUCGGCCACAUUGGGACUGAGACACGGCCCAAACUCCUACGGGAGGCAGCAGUAGGGAAUCUUCGGCAAUGGACGAAAGUCUGACCGAGCAACGCCGCGUGAGUGAAGAAGGUUUUCGGAUCGUAAAACUCUGUUGGUAGAGAAGAACGUUGGUGAGAGUGGAAAGCUCAUCAAGUGACGGUAACUACCCAGAAAGGGACGGCUAACUACGUG
rnacentral:rRNA from 1 species